UCCUACGGGAGGCAGCAGUGGGGAAUAUUGCACAAUGGGCGCAAGCCUGAUGCAGCCAUGCCGCGUGUGUGAAGAAGGCCUUCGGGUUGUAAAGCACUUUCAGCGAGGAGGAAGGUGGUGAGUUUAAUACGCUCAUCAAUUGACGUUACUCGCAGAAGAAGCACCGGCUAACUCCGUGCCAGCACCCGCGGUAAUA
rnacentral:rRNA from 1 species